CUCCUUUCACUUCGGUUUUCUGAGUUGGUGUUUUGCCGAUUUCUCCAUGUUUUCUGUGCUUCUUUGUGUGGUGUCUCCUUUCACUUCGGUUUUCUGAGUUGGUGUUUUGCCGAUUUCUCCAUGUUUUCUGUGCUUCUUUGUGUGGUGUCUCCUUUCACUUCGGUUUUCUGAGUUGGUGUUUUGCCGAUUUCUCCAUGUUUUCUGUGCUUCUUUGUGUGGUGUCUCCUUUCACUUCGGUUUUCUGAGUUGGUGUUUUGCCGAUUUCUCCAUGUUUUCUGUGCUUCUUUGUGUGGUGUCUCCUUUCACUUCGGUUUUCUGAGUUGGUGUUUUGCCGAUUUCUCCAUGUUUUCUGUGCUUCUUUGUGUUGUGACUCAUUUUUCUAGAAAUUUUCAGUUCAAUCGUUGUCAAAUUCUUCUUCUUUUUCUUCUCAACUUAUUUUAUUUUUAGGGUUGUUCAAAAACAUCAUUAGAAACUUGUCGCCUCUCCAUCUUGUAAAGUUUUAAGAAUGAAAUUCUUGAAUUCGUUGGAUGUUGUUGAUAUAUAUAUACAUAUAUGUAUAGAAAAAUGUUAAAAUAAUUCACUCAUUUACUAAAUUGAUUCAUUGUAUUGUAACCAUCAUUAGAAAAAUGGAUCACCUCCAAAAGCCAUCAUUACAAUCAUGGCCUUCAUCACUACUUUCCUUCUCCCAAGCCUUCUUUAUUCCAAAAAAUCCCCCCUCCCCCUCUCCCUUUCCAUGUUUUCAGCUUUCAUCUGCACUCUCUUCAUUCUUUUCCUUUCCAAUUGUGUAAGUCUCAAUCUAGAGUUCUUCUCAACAAUAUUUUGAGAGCUGUACAUCUACCUCUUUUGUACUUAGCUUACUUGUCAUGCCUAGUGCUAUAUUGUUGUCACUCUCCUAUCCCUUCAUUUUUCUAAAGAAGCUGCUAAUUUAAUUAACAUUCUUUUUGUUGUAUCAAUUAUUAUUAUGUGGUUCAAUUUGACUUCUUUUUUUCUUUUCUUUUCUUUUAUUAGUAUUUUUUUUUUUUUGCCAUGAAUAGAGACUUCAAUUUUUUAUCAUGAUUUAUAUGGACUUUUUUGGUUAAAUGUAGUUACUUUGGAAUUGGGAUUAUCUUUGUAUUUGGAAGUAGUUAUUUAUAUAUUAUAUAAGCAUCUUUUAUUUAGAAGGUGUAUUGUGACAAGAUAAGUCUAAUUGUUGCAUUGUGUUUGAUUUUAUAUGUGAAUAUGAUUCUUACAUGUCAUGUGGAAUUUUUGAGUGAAAUUCUUUUGAUUUGAUAUCUUCUUAUGGUGUUCAUGAGAGUGAUUUGGAUUGGACUCUUUGUUGAUUUUGUUAUGUAUUUGUCUUGAAUUAAUAUCUUUAAACAUAACUCUACAAAGUCAUAUUUGUGAAGUUGUCAAUUUGGUUGUAUGUUUAGUUUGUAGGUUGUCACAUCUUGAUAAAUAGCAAUGUGGAUGCAAGUUUGAUGUAUGUUGUGAGUCCUCUAAAGCUUGAAUUUUGGAUAAGUAUCUUUUUUCAUCUUAUCAAUGUAUAAUUGACUACAACUCAAUCUUAGCAUUAUAAUCCUUCUUGAGUUUAAUAAACUCAAAAUAUUAUGAGAUCAAUUCAAUAUGAGAGUUGUCUAUAGUUUAAGUUUACAUUUUCUAUUGCUACUAAAUAAAAAUAAAAAUUCUACCUAUGCAAUCUAACACUACAAUUCAACUAGGAUCUUAGUUCCAUCUUACCACCCCAAGAACUUUAAAUGCUCCUUCCAAGUUUCACAAAAACUCUUUAAGACUUAAAAACCUCGUAAAAGCUUCACAUAAAGAAUCAAGUCUACAUCUUACAAUUAAGACCUCUUCCAUAAUUCUAUGUUCCCUUUGGAAAUGAGGAAUGCUUUCUUAGAACACCUUACAAUUGUCCUUCUAAGAUUCUUUACAAAUUCGAUGAGCUACUAAUUCUUCGAUCUUGCUACUCUUGAUUUAAGGAGAAAAGCCUUAUCAUGGUUGUCACUCAGACAUGCACGCCAAUGAUAUUAUAUGUGCUUUUGGAUCCAACAAAUUUGAAUGUACAUUGUAAAGACUUCACUGAGAGCUUAUAUAGAAUAAAUAAGUUUCAUGAAGAACUUUUGACUAAGGUUCAUACAAUUGGAAAUGAAAUAAAUGAAAGGGAUUAGCAUGAGAGUUAAGAAUGGAAGGAAGUAGGGGGAUGGAUUUUAGAAUAAAAAAAACUAGCAAUGAAAAAAACAAAAGUUCAGAAUAAAGGGCGUUGAAAUGAUGGCUAUAAUUAUAAUAAUGGUUUUUGGAGAUGAUCCAUUUUUUUUAAUGAUGGUUACAAUAAGAUAAGUUGAUUUAAUAAAUGAAUGGAUUAUUUUAAUAAUUUUUUAUAUAUACUUAUAAGUUUUUUUAUGUAAUAAUAUUGAAAGAUUUAUGAUAUCUAGAUUUGAGUAGAUUUUUGUUAAAUGAAAUUUUUGAAAGAUAUUUGAGAAUUAUUGAAAAUCAACCUAUUCCAAGAUGCCACCAAGAAGGUAGAGAGAAAAUUUUCUUAAUUAAAAUAAAUUAAAUAUAUUAUUUUUAUUUAUUUUAUAUUAUGAAUCAUAUUAUCUAUUCAUCUUUUAAAUUCAAAUAUAUUAUAUAUUUAAAUAUGUGCUUACAAGACCAUAUACAAAUAUUGAGUAGGUUAAAAUUGAAUUGUAAUAUAUAUAUAUAUAUAUAUAUAUAUAUAUAAAAUAUAAAAUUUUAAAAUAAUAUAAAUACAAAAAUAUAUUCAAUCUUGUAUGCAUUUUUGUAUUUAUAAGCUUAAAACUUAUUAUCUAAGAUUUGGAAAAGAACUUCAUAUAAAAACUUACUAUGAAGUUUUAAUGAUUUUUGAAAUAAAUAUAAAUAAGUUAAAAAAUAUUCUAGAAGUUUUAAAAUAUUAUUAUUAAUUUGAUUUUAAAUUUGAUGUAAAGAAGUUACACACAUGUUAUUAUAAAAAAAAUUUCUUAUAAUAAUAAACAUCAAAAAUAUUUACUCAAAUAUGUAUUAUUGAGUAUUUUUUCCAAAUUUAAAUACACCAUAAAUAUACUCUAUGUGAGAUAUUUAAUUUUGAUUUUUAAAAUUUAAAAUUUAGAUAAAUCUUUGUUCAUAUUGACUAAAUUAUCUAUUGAUGAGCAUUAUAUGAUUUUCUUAGAAUUAAAAAUUUCAAAACAUGUUGAUAUAUAAAUUCUAGAAUAAAAAUUUCUUUAAGCGCUAAAUUCUACAAAAGUUUAAAGAGUGCUAUGCCACAUUUGUUUUGAUAGAUGUUGUAAGUAUGGCAAUCAACCUAAAGUUUUUGUUUUUAAAUUUUUUUUUAUAUAGAUUUUUUUAUUAUUUAAAAAAUUAAAUAAAUAAAAUAUUUUUUAAAAAAUAUUUUUAUUAAUUAAUAUUUUUUAUUUUUUACUUUUUUUCUAUAUAAAAAAUUUAUUUUUAUGUUAUAAAAAGAAAAUCAUUCAAAGACAUGAAUCACAAAGAACAAAGAAUCAAUAUAUUCUUGUGUUACUAUAAAAGAGUAGAUAAUAACUCAAAAAUAGUAUAAUAUUAAGACUAUAAUAACUAUUGUUAAAUAUAAAGCAUUGGCAAGAGUGAAAAAGACCUCACUCUUGCCUCCAUAUAUACUAACUAGGAUCUAUGGGGCAACAUUCUACAUGACCUUUGAUAUAUGCUUAUCUUGCAAAACACAUGUCUAACUUGCAAGAUAAGUUUCCUAAAUGUGUGCCACAUAGCUAACUUGUACCAUAAGUCAUCAACAUGUGCAAUACUUGGCUAACUUGUUGGCCAAGUUUUUAACCUACCAAUCACCUAUAAUUAUGUAAAAAGUUGAAUUUGCAUCUAUAAAGAUUCUAAAAAGUUUUUCCACAAGAUUUUAUCAAUUUUAUUUACUUCUAUUUAAUUCUAUCUAAUUCCUUUAAUCUAUGUAAAUAUGUAUGUCCAUGACACUUGUUAAAUAAGCACUUACAAAAUACAUCCAAAGAUAUUUUAGAUUUUUUGAAUAUGUAAUUUUAGAAAAAUAUUCUAUAGUACAAAAGGUUUUAAAAGUAAACAAAAAAGCAUUGUUCAUGAUAUAAUUUUAUUGUUUUGCAAGAUUUUAAUAAUAAAUCUACAAAAAAUAAAUCUAUGUGAAAUACAUAAAACACCAAGAAUACGAGAGUCCUGGGAGGACACCCACACAGAAGUUCGUCCGCCACGUCACACCCAUCGGAAAGGGAGUCUCAAACCCAGCCAAGCCAGGGCCGGAAGGAGGGAGAGAGAGCGGGACCCAUCCACGCUGGCCUAACUCGGAGUGAGCGGAGCGAAGGGACGCAAAUCCAGUCACUUGUCGUGGCGGCCACGUUGGCAAGCCACGUCAACCGGGAGCUUGAGAAAACGCAUGUGUGAAAGGGAAGACGAAAGAGGAGUGGUUGGGGAGGGUAGCACCCAAGCCCGUGGAAGACAAUGGAGGGCGAAAAGGAGGGAUCACCCAAACCCGUGGAAGGCAAGGCAAGGCGAAGAAGAGGGAGGUGAAUGCAAGAGUGAGAGAGAGUGAGCCAUGGCGGCUCUUCCCUUUCCUUUUACUUUCCUUCCUGAAACCUUAUCCCGAUGGGAGGGAGUUUGCUUUUUAUUGCUUCCUGCUACUAUUGCUCGCUCGCCGCAGAGGGCGACGCUCUUAGGCGCCACAAGUCUCUGCGCUACGUAAACGCAAUUGGGUCCAAACCAAAACCAGGCUCUACCGACGCCUUAUGGCUACUACUACUACUACCACGAUCACAACUCUGCCUUGAAACUGUUACUCGCCAUCGUGCCUCUAUUGCCGAGGGAGGAAUCAUCAAAACCAAAACCUCUGAAAAGAUAUGGCAGUUCUGAGGUCAGGGCUCUUUCUCGCACCUCCAGCGUCGCUCUCCUCACACAGCGCCGGCGCCAUUCGAGAUGACUCUGGACGGACAAGUGUUUCCUACUGCGGAGGAUGCUUGAGUGGCAACGCCGGAGAUGUGAGUGAGAGGUUGAAUCCUGGUGGGUUGAUUAUUGGGAAUGGCGCUUGUAGUCGAGGUAGGCUCGUGGUUGUUGGUAGAGCCGGUGGGUCUCGUCCUGCUGCGGGGGCCAGACGGCCGCGCCCGCAACCGAACAGGCGUUCCGGAGCGAAGGAGCCUCAGGAUGAGGGUGGACCGCUGCUUAAUGGCGACAUCAGGUGGGUUUUUGGUUGCCGUGCACGCUUGGUUGCUUGUGAGUGGCAGCUGUGUGCAAGUUUCUUUUGGUUUGGUGUGCAACGAGGGGGACAUUUGCAGUCAAUUCCGAUCCUACUUCUCACAAUUAGGAUGGAUUACAAUGCAGAGUUCCCUCUGUUAGGCUCCUCGACGAAGAACAGAACAUGGUACGUGAAAUUGUCUAAAUUUCCAGCCAUUUGUUCUCGAAGGUUUUAUCGAGAUUGAGCUGCGAAUAGUGUCGCUCGUAGAUAUCAAUGGGGGUGUUAAUUCGAAGGCGGAUGAACCCUUACAGUUUUGGUCUUUGUUACGACUGUUUAGCAUAGAAAAAUACUCACAUAUAUUCUUUGCUACAGGUUGGAGUGGUUCCAACAGCCGAAGCACAGCUACGGGCAAGAGAUGCUGAUUUAGAUCUUGUAAGAGCUUUUCUCUUGUUGGGGUUUAAAUCGUUCUUGGGUUAACCUUUAGGAAGUGAAGUGAACCUGGAGUUGGGCGGAAAUAUGAAUGUCAAUUGGAUUUUUCGAUGCAUUUUGGAAUGCACUUUUAGGGUCAUGGUAAAACAGUUAAUUGCUUUGGGGACUUGUUUUCUGAGUCCCUUUUUGGACGCUCUUAAUUUAGCGUCUGCGUGGAUUCAUGACCUACCACAAUUUUGUUUGCCCUAAUACAGUAGUCUAGGUUUUGAGGUUUUGAGACCAGAGGAAGUUGAAGCUAAACGUUGUCUCACACUCUUGCAGGUAAUGAUAGCUCCAGAUGCAGACCCCCCUGUGUGCAGAAUAAUGGAUUACAGGUAAGUUUGCAAGAUUAUCAGACUGAUGCAAUCUCUUUGUUAAAAUGGGUUGUCGAAACAUUUUGUUGCGUGCUUACUAAAGAGAUUGUUUUAUCUUUAUACAGUAAGUACAGGUAUGAAGCUCAGAAGAAGAAAAGAGAAGCUCAGAAGAAGGCUAUUGGUAAUUUCUCCUUGCUGUCAUUGUUAAUUGCCAAUGGGUCAAUUUUUCUUGUGAUUAUCUUGGGGUUUCAUGUAUGCUCUUAAACGCCCACAUUUAGUUUUUCAAUUUACUUUUUCUUUCGAAUAUGGAGAUUGUGCUAUCCGGUCGCUUGAUCUUUGAAGUGACAGGUGAUGUCGUGAUAUAAAGUUUGGUCAUGUUGAGUAGAGGGUUUCGAUAGAUCAGAAUCUUUGUGCAGAAGCUACUUGCAUGCUUUGAUAUUUGCUUUUGGAAGCAUAAAUCCCACGACUCUGGAACAUAGCGAUAGCGUUGUUAGAAAAGCAUCUGUGGUCAUCGAGGAUUUUCCUUAAUUUUAUUAAGCUUGGGGUAUACUCAUUUUGUGUGCACAAGGAGAUAUUAUACCAUUGCAUUCUCAUGGUUAUGUUUCUGUUAUUGCUCUGUGGUCUACAGCAAGUCGGCAGGAUCUUAAAGAGUUGAAAAUGAGGUAUUUGCUUAUGAUCUAGCAACCAUCUAAUUUCAAUCUCUCAAAUCAUCAGUGAAGUUUUUGGGUUACCCGUUGUUUUAUCUGAUGUGCAAAGUUAGAGCAUCAUGAUUAUAGCUUUUUCGCCCUUCUCAUAUUGCAACUAUCAUGAAUACUAGUUACUCGUAUACUAUAUAAUAAGCGUAACUUAGUACCUGUGCUGUCCAGAUAUAACAUUGAUACUCAUGAUUACCAAGUGCGUCUGCGAUCUGCAAUGAAAUUCUUGAAGGAUGGUGAUAAAGUAAGCAUCUGCCAUGUGAUACUAUAUAGGUUCUGCAUUGUUUGGAAAGUUAUAUAUGAGUAGGGUUACAAGAAUGUCAAAAACUUACUGGUGAAAUGUGGGUCUGAAACUGGUUUAAUUGCUCUACAGGUGAAAGUGGUCUGUCAGUUCAAAGGACGAGAGAUGGAUUUCAAGGAUUUGGCUUUUAAGUUAUUUCAAAAGUUUAUAGAUGAUAUCGGAGAGGUACAUGUAAAAGAGCCCUUCUCAUGUGAUGCGCACUUCCGCUGUUACUGUGUAAUCCUUCAUCUCCUGUACGCUGUAAGACAUUAACACAUAUAUACUGUUCAAUAAUUGACAUAUUGUGGGAACGAUUUGGUAUUGUACAGUUGGGAGUUGUUGAGAGCAAAAUGGCAAUCGAAGGAAGACAAAUGAUAAUGUUGCUGGGACCAAAUAAAACUGCUGUUGCCAAGCUACAGCCUGAGAAAAGUACUGAGAAAUCCAAAUCUAAAGAGCAAGAUAAUGGAAAGCCCAGUUCAGAAAGCACAACCACUGUAGAACUCGAGACGGCUCCUGUAUCUGACGAUACCUGAAUUUGUUAAGACACAGUUAGGUACGAGACGCCAAGUCGUCUAGUAAUGAAGCUGCUAUCCAGUGUCUGAUAACUGCACAUACAGUUAGAUUGGUUUUUACUCAUUUUUGCAGUUUUAAUGUGAUUGGUAAUUUGUAACAUCCGUUUGACCUCGGCGGUUUAUGACUGCCCAAUGUAUUCACACACGCUCAAUUAGCAUAAGAGAUUCAGUACUUUCGUCAUCUUAUUGACCAUUUACAUUGCUUACUUUCGUCUCGUCCCAGACAUUGCAAUCAGUUUAUCUUCAACAGAGGAUCCACGGACAUUAGCUAACACUUGUGGUACAUGCUGCUUCUCAAACUAGUUUAUGUAUUACACCAUUUGGUAAGCGGACAUGUGCUAUAAAACCUGGCUGAUGAUCUGCAGAGAAAUUUGUAGCUGAGACAUUUGUAGUCUAAGCUUUUGGUAGAUUGCUAUUUCUGUGGAUCGUCGGAUUGGAAUCUGGACGUAAUGUUCCGAAAUACCACACAUUAUUUAACAUUCUAUUGCCAAUUCUCUAAUCCCUUACAGUACCCGAAAACAGAAUGUCUGGACUCAGAUGGGAACUAAUGAAUACUAUGGACCUAGUUUUUAGAUUGGGAUCGUCGUUCCCUUCUGAGUUGUUAACAUUGAUGUGUGUAUAGAUAUAUGUACGUAUAUAUAUAUAUAUAUAUAUAUAUAUAUUCUGUCUCUCACAGUAGAUGGAAAUAUCUCUCUGUAUAUAUAUUCUCUCUCUCUCAUCUCACAGUAGAUUGAUUUAUUUUUUUGUCUUAAUUUUUUUUAUUGCAGAGUAACAAAUUGCUUUUCUUACAAAAAAUCCAAAACACAUAGUAACAACAAAUACAUAAUAAUUGUCUAAUUUUCCAUAAAGAGCAUUAAUAAACAAAAUCGUUUUUAUUCUAUAGAUUAUCUAUUCUUAAAGUUUACAAAUCAAAAUCAAUAAGGAUAUUUAACAAAAACAAACUAGACUAGUAAAUUGUUUAAAAGAAUUAGAAUAAAUAAAAUAAAGUUCAUGGUAUAUUAUAUGUAUUGUGACUUAUUAUAAUAUCAAAAAGUAACUUUAGAAAAAUUAAAUUUAUUAAAUUGAAUACCUAAUCAAAAUUUUAAAUUCACAAGACCAAUAAUAAUUCCAAAUGAUUAAAAAAAAAUAGUCAUUUGACAAAUAUAUAUACACACACACACACACACACACACAUAUAUAUAUAUAUAUAUAUAUAUAUAUAAUAUUAAAAAUUUCAAAUCAUGAUCACAAAAUUAAUUUAUUUUAUUUUAUUUUACUUCAAUAUAUUAAGGAGAAUAAUAAAGCGACCCAAAUUUUUACUAAUGCAACCCACUUCAUCUUAAGCAUUAUUGCACCCCUGGAGCUCCCAUCCCUAUUCCCAGCUAUUUCCUAUUCCCAACAGUUGCUGGAAAUGGGGGCAGGAGGAUGGAAAUGGAGGUGAUGGUAUGAAAUAGGAAAACGGUUGAGAAUGGGGCAUAUGGUUGAUUUAAUAAAAAUUUGGGUUGCUUUGUCAAUUCUCUAUGUUAAUGUAGAAACCAAUUUUCUCAAAAAGUAAAAGUAUCAAAUUUGUCAAAUUAAAAAAAUAAAGAAAAUCAAAUCAAAUUAAAAUUAGAAUACAAGGCACUUAGACUACUAUCUAAAAAUAAUGAGUGUUAUCUAUACUCAAAUUCAUAUAUUUUGAGAAUUGUAAUGUUUUACAAAUUUUGCAUUAUAGAGUUAUAUUAAGUCAUGUUAUUGUAAUUAGAUUGUGAUUUUCUAUUCAUUAUAAAAAUAUUAUAAAGAUUCUUAACUUUUUUCUUUAGUUAGGUUGUUAGUAAGACAUAUCCAAAAAAAAUAAGAACAAUAAAUUGUUUUAUGUCAAAAAAGUAGCAAUAUUAAUAGGUACUAUAAAUUUUUAUUUUGCACAAUUUAGUAUCAUUUAAGUUAUGAAAGAUGUUUAAUUUUUAUUUUUUUAUUUUUUUUAUUGCUAUUAUCUAAAAAUAUCUACUUGUAAUUUUUUUUAAAGUUGACUUUCAAAAUUUAUGUUGGUGUUUUCAAUUUAAAAUAAAUACUAACAUUCAUCAAACAAAUGAUUAAUGCAUCAUGAUGUACAACAAUAGUUUUAAAUCAAUAAGUUCCAUUUCAGAGAAAUAAAUAAAUAAAUAAAUAAACUCUUACCGAAUUUAGAACAAGCUUGAACCUUAGUUAAUAUUCAAAAUUUUAAAAUGCUGGUUUGUUUUUUUAUUGAUCCGAUUUCACAAGUAUUUGAAUCCAUAAAAAUUUCAUCUCAUCACUGCUAAUCCAUCUUCACCCUCAGAAAUAUGUACAUAAAACUUCCUGUGUUAAAUUUACUUGUAAUAGUCUAUGAAUACAUGAAAACUAGACCGUGGCUUGAAUAAAAUACGAUAUCAUUAUGCCUGAGGUAGCAGGCGACCCCUUUUUCUGGUUCGUGAGAAUUAGUGAAACAUGCCAAUCUUUUUAAAAUAAUCAGGACAAGAGGUUACAGAAACAUUUGCGUGCCAUCAGAAAAACCAAAAUUAUGAUGACCCAAAGAUCUCUGGCCACUUGAGGAGGGCUUUCUCUGCAGCAUCUUGUCUAGCGAGUCUCUGUGAUUUCCCAAUCCCAGUGGACAAGCGGAACCCUUUCACAUACACUCUAAUUCUGCAGGAUUCAUUUGGGGUGUUCUGAUUGUCAACUCCGAUCAACCUGCAUGGAAUUCACCACCUCAGAGCUAAGCACAAGUGACUAGACUUUCAGGACAUAACAUAAUUUAGUGUAAAGUUUCAGGGUUAUUCACAGGAUUUUAGUGGAACUGCUGGAGGAUAAUACAGCUAUCGUUUACUUGAAGGGCAGGUUGUGGGAAACACUCACUUGUAAUCUGGCUUCUCCUGCAAUACCAUUGCACAUCGAUCGUGCAGAAUGGUCACUGGGUUCCUCGUUGGCUUAGCGAGGAGUAGGAGGGGUAACAAACGAGUCUCGACAAACUGUAAGGUACUUUCCAGUCCCUACCAGAUGAAAGCAUAAGAAUGAAUCAAUCUCACAGAUAUUGCAUUAACCACAUAGAAACAAGACAGGAAGAUUAAGUUGCUCAUGUCCCGUCCACAAGAGUGUUACCUUUUCUACGUAGAGACCUCCAAUGUAAGCUUCCAGAGUGUCUGCACAAGCUUUCAUCUGUGGUGAUACGCACGCAGAACCAGUCUUUUGGUUAUGAUUCAUACACGAAAAUAAGACAGGUAGAUUAAGCCAUACCUUCAUACGCAAUAAACAAAACUAGAUGUCAGUUUCAGCAAAUUAACCUCACCUGAUUUUCUAAGAGAGCAGUUGCUGAAGCUUUUUUAGAUCGAGAGAGGAGAGGAUCACACAACACAAGCUCACGCAGAUCCAAUAAUGUGCACCAAGCGCGAGCCAAGUUGCUAUUACACACCUGCAAAGCCCAAUCCAGCCUACAAAUGUCAUCCAAUCACAUAGCCAGUUCUUCAACCAGCUGUCAGACGUACUUCAAAUGCUCAACAAUCCUCUUUGUUACCGUAUUAACAGUUUAAAAAAUAAGCGAAAUCUCAUUAUUUUAGCAUCUAGCAAACAAUUGGUCAUCACGAACCUAUGCCUUCACGAGCUAGGGCCAACUACCGACGACAUCUUAAUGAAGGCAAGUGCUAAGAUAGCUCUAGUUAGGUUUGACCAAUACCAGCUGUGACCUUCGUUCCGUUAUUGAGCCCUGCGUUACAUGUCAAUAUGUCAAGCUCCUCUUCAGAUAAAGGAUUCUCAUAAAACAUUCUACGCAGACUACAGGCAUAGAAAAAGGUCAUCAAAAAAAAAAAAAAAAAAGAAAAAGAAAAAGAAAAAGAAAAACUAUAGGUAGGAAAAUGCAGCAAGCGACGCACAGUUGACAGCAAAGGGUAUUGGCGAAUAAGGUGGGUGGAAGCGACAAGAUUCAAGACUGUGUCUCCUAUUAAAGCUAGCUUUAAUCGAGCCUGCAAUGGAAAGAAACAGCAGCUCGGUUAGAAUCAGAGAAAAUCACAGGGUAACUCGAGAACCAUAUUAGACCUGGGAGCAGAAAUUACGUGAAAGACUGAGACGAUACUAUUUGAAUGACAGGCUCAUGAUAGAGUAACACAAAUCACCCCAACGGUGCACACUUUUUACAAAUAUUUCACCGGUGUGUUGUUAAAAUAAAAUAAAAAGUCAAAAUCAAGGCUCUAUGUUUACUGUUCUCUGCCUUCGAUUCAACAAAGGGGGAGGACAACAUAACAUGAGUAAUUAAUCAACCUCUGCGUGUGCGUCAGCAAAAGUCAUCAAGUUGUCUUCCACGGUUCCUGAUCUUUGCCAUGACAUGAGAGGCUUCCUCAACUUUUUCUCUUUCACAGAUUGUGGCAUUUUGGACAAAUAGUAGCUCUUAUGAACCUGAAACAUACUAGAGAGAGAAAUGGCUGACCAUCAGGACCUCGUUGACACGAGCCAAAAAAAUAGAAAGACGUCAAACCAACAUUGAAUGUAACUCACGAGUGACAACUCAAAGAGAGAUGGUGUAGAUGAGGACCAAAAUUCGCAAGAGAAGCUCCCGGGAAUGGAUACUACAGCCAAGCUUCUCAGUUAGUAUCUGCAAAAACAGCCAUGACUGCGUUAACUUCUACACAUUAAUACUAACCUUCACUACACAUUGCAAUUGAAGCUAGAGCAAUAGGAGAGAAACUUUACGAGCAAAGCGACAGGCCUAAAAACCUGAACAAUUGGUAAGGGUGAUAAAAAUGGGCCAAAGAUUUUUUUUUUCCCGUCAUUUCUUGCAUGCCCUACUGAGACGCAACCAAUGCAAGAAGCGAGGAAUCAAGAGGUGAACCGGACCUGAAGCUGUAGAUUGAAGCUCUGGGGGAGGGGCAGCACUUCGCAUAUCAAAUCUGGAAUCCGCCAAGAACACUCUGGUAUGCCUGGCAUUUGGGGCCACACUGCCAAAGUCUCCAUACCAUUGCUCGUUUCCGUAAAACUAUCCAGGCCAGUCUGUCUAUGGGAAGGCGCAGCUUGGCUAUUAAAGAAGAGCUCAUUACUCAGAAAAUCUCUGCCACCAGAUACUGUUCUCGUUUCUUCUACAGCUACGCUACUCAAUUCUGAACGCGAUUCCGCGCCACGGAAUUCAUUGAACCCGACGUUGAUGACCUCUUGUGUAUUAAGUUCCAAAGAAUUUAUUUCGGUCUCGAUAUCCAAGUCCUGUUCCUCCUGGCAGUCCAGGGAGCCACCAACUUGGGUAUAUAAACCCCUAGGCACCAAAACAUUACCAUUUACCUCGAUCGCGAACUCUUUGCGCUGCGCUGCGCCCAAUUCAAGAUCUGCCACAGUACAAUUGCGGCGGAAGGCAUUGAUCAAUACAAGUCGACUAAAACUGAACACCAAUAUUCUCUACCAUUCAAUUGCAACGCACGUAGUAGUACCAAGAAAUUGAGUGACAGCACUCCCAUGAUCGUAAUCCUAAGAAGUUUCCUCAUAUACCCAUCUCGGAGAGCGAAACGUACCAUUGGAAACGACCGCAUUUUUGGAAACUCGACGCAAACCAGGGCAGAGCCCGCUUCGCCGCGCUCUACCAUACUUACUCCCACCAAACACAACCGAAUUGCAAGUUCCAUAAACAUUCUCGGCGAUGAGAGACACAGCUCCCAGCGUUACCAAUUCCCCUCGGCCCACAAAAAGAAUGUUGCAUUCUCUGACGGCAUGGAGACUAGUGCAGUGAAGCCGAGCAAGCUUGUAAACUUCCCCAAUCCCUCUCCCGUACCGCUGAAUCAUGAUGCCACGGCCACCCAAUUACCCUAAAACAACCCUGAAUUCCAAAAACUGUGGCAAAUGCGGAAUCUUCAUGUCACAGUGGUGAAUCAAUCAGGCAUUGAAACAGCGGAGCCACGACACCAUCCCACCACGUCUACAGAUGCGCGCCGCCUAGAAAACUGGUGGAAAAAAAGGGAUGACAACAACAACGACAACAACAACGAGUGGAUCCUGAUUGCAAUGAAUGCCCAGUUUGAGAAUGCAAGUGGAGUAAAUGCAAAAGCAAGCAAGGAUUAAAGUGCAAGCCCCCCAAACAAGUGGAGCGAGAAAGAGAACGAGGUGAUGGAAAAAGGAGGCUGCUUUGUAUGAAGAAGAGUGUCUUGCAUCACACAUUUUUAUUUGCAUCACUUUUUUAUCCACCAAUCUAGUUAACCUUGUUUUGUCUUGUCUUGUAUAAGUAGUUCAUCCUUCACUUCACUCCUUCACUUCACUCAGCUUUCACUUCAAUCUCAUUGCUCCAAGUUUCAAUCUCAUUUCAAUCUCAUUGCUCCAAGUUUCAAUCUCAUUUCAAUCUCAUUGCUCCAAGUUCAUCACUUCACACAGCUUCACUUCAAUCUCAUUGCUCCAAGUUCAUCACUUCACACAGCUUCACUUCAAUCUCAUUGCUCCAAGUUCAUCCUUUACUUCACUCAGCUUUCCUACAUUGUUGCCAUGUUUUGAUUGAAUACAAUGAGGAGAUUCAGACUUAAGGUUUUUGGAUGAUAUUUCAAAAUAUCACUUGAUGCUUCAUCAAAUCACCUACCUUGCAAAGUGGAUGAUUUUUAAAUCCAAAUAUCAAAAGGACUAGUGAAAUAUCAAAUAUUGCUUUGCUUGCCUUAACUCUCUUCCAUCUUUGAUUCCAUACCAAAGGAUAAUAAAGUUUGAAUUAGGAAUAAUAAAGUUUGAAUGGUGAUAUUUUAGGAGGUGAUAUUUUGAGUGAUCCGUGAUAUUUGGUUUUCCAAAAACCUUAAGUCUAAAUUCCCGCAAUGUUGUGAAAUUUUUGGAUUAGUGUCUUUCUUUACAAUGUUGUUGUAGAUUUGUUCUUCUUUGCUCUCUAUUCUAAUCUAUCUAAAUUUUAGGAUUUUUGAAGGAAAAGUGGAAAAGUAGGCAUCUAGUAAGAAUUUGUUUACAUUUACAAGACAUUUUUUGUCAAGUUAUUGAAAGAUUUAUAUUGAAAAACUAUAUCAUUUUUUAUUUUUUAUUUUUUGAAUUGUUUUUACUUAUUUUUGAUUUUGUGAUUUUUUCCAUAUUUGUGAUUCUUUACACUUUCUUCAUCUCUUAUUACACAAUUUAUAAUAUUAGAUAUAUUUUUUUUUUCUUCUUGGUUUAUAUAGUUUUAUCUUUUAUAUAUAUAGGCCUAAAUGCUCAUCUUGCAUUUCCACAUAUUUUGAAUCAAUUCACUUCUAAAUUAUCAUUUUAUAUAUUUCUUCUAUCUUUUAUUAUCCAACUAAACAUUUGAAAAUGUUAUAUUAUUACUUCUAUUUGUUUCUCUUUAACUUUGUCUUUUCUUUAGAAAUAACUUUGUGAUUCUUUAUUUUUCAAAUUAUAUAGGUUUACAUAAGAAAACACCUUAUUUUUUUGGAUCUUAUUGGCUUCAUCAAAUUUAGGUAUAACUCACAAUCAUUCUUCUACAUUUUGGUUGUUUUAAUGGUAGAAAUGUUUACAUUUAUCUACUUAUGAGAAACACUUGUAUAAAAAUAUAAAAAUACUAAUUAUAUAUAUAUAUAUAUAUAUAUAUAUAUAAAAAAAUAUAAUUUCUUAUUUUUAUUUUUGAUAUUUUUUUAAAAAUUGGUUGAAAUUUAAAAAUAUAAUUUGUUCAAAUCUGUUACUUGAGCUUUAGAAGCUCUAAGCAUUCACAAAAUAGAACUUGGUGAUAGUCAUGAUUUCCAAUAAUAUGCAUUGAUCUAUAAACAAGCUAUUUUGUUAUUAAGAUUUGAAAUUACAUGGAAUCAAGCCUAGUACUAUUUUUUCUUGAGAUUCUAUUAUUUGAUAAUAUUAUAUUCUAUUCUACUAAUUCUUGAUUAUCACUAAUGUACUAUUUCAAUGUUUUAAUAUUGACCCUCUCUAGCCAUACUUGAGAGGUGCCUUUGCAUUUUGUGGUGGCAUUGUCAAUGUUGCUCUUAUCUUUCCUCUCAUUGCUUUGACCUUAUACCGUUUAAUCACUGUGAUAGAUAUUAGAUUGCUUUAAUGGAUUACAAAUUGCUUAGGUGGAUAAUACAAUCUCUACAAGUCUAAAAAUAUGGCAUAUGGUUGAUGGUUUAUAUUUACAAAUAUGUAUGUUGCAAAUGAAUGAUAUAUAAUGGCAUAUAUAAAGUAGACACAUUAUUAUCAUUCUAAUUAUUAGUUGUUUGUAAAAUAACUUGAUUGAUAAUCUUACAUGUAGUAUUUGUAUUGUAAAGUUUUUUGCAAUAAUUAUAUAUGUAUUAUAUUUAUAAACCAAUUUAAAUCCUAAAGUAGCUACAAUAAGCACCAUAUUCUUAUCUAUCUAUUGAUUUCUUCUAUUAAUAUUUACAAGUACUAUUCUAAGACUAAAAUUUCAAAUUAUAUUUUAAAUUAUAUUUUUAGUUAUUUUAUAAUUUAUUAUAUAUCUUUUUAAUUAUAAUAAUAGAAAUAAAAAUAUCUUUAAUAAAAAAUAAUCUACAUUAUAAAUAGUAUUAAAGAACUAUUGAAGAAAAAACACUAUGAAGUCACAACACUUAGUAUUAACAAAGUUUCAUAGAAAGAGAGUAUGGAAUAAGAUAUCACUUAUUUCCAACACCCAUUACUUAAGGUGGUGGCUGCUACCUUAAUUGACAACUUCCAUUGUUUAAUGAAUACAUCCAUCCAACUUUCUACCAAGACUAUUCAUUGUUAUCUUAUCUAUUAUAAAAAUAUACUUUUAGCAUAUUUUAUAUAUUCUUAAGAUUCUUGGUCAUUUCAUCUAUUUUAUCUUUUGGCCUUCUAACAUAUCAAGAACCAAUCAUUUUAUCAAUAACAACUUAUCUAAGGUAAUAUCUUCUACAAGAUAACUUAAUUUAUUUUCACUUUUACUUACUUACUUUAAUACUCUCAUUUUGCUUUUAGUCAAAGGCUUUCAAUCCUAAUGCCAUUGUCAACACAUGAUUUCUAUCCUUUACUAUUACUUUUAUCAACAAAUCACCAAACAUGUCUUUUGUCAUACAAUAUUUCAUAUCAAUCACUCCCAUUUCAAUCUUCUCUUUUAUAAAAAGAUGUUGAAUGUCAAUGUAUUUGGUCCUUGAGUAAUGCUUUGGAUUCUUUGCAAAUGCAAGACAUCCUUGCUUGUCUCACUCUAUUUGAGUUUCUUUUAUUUGUAGUAUUCCAAUGUACUCCAAAAGUUAUCUUAGCCAUAUUUCCUCCAUUGUACCAUUGCUUACUAUCAUGUAUUCCACCUUUAUUGUUGACCUUGUAAUUAUUGGUUGUCUCUUGCAAUUCUACAAAAUAGCUCCCACUCUAAUAAAGAAUACAAAUUCUAUUCUUGAUCUUCUAUCAUUUGCAUCUCCAACCCAAUCUGCAUCACAAUAACCAUCCAAAUUAAUGUUAUCACCUCCAAUGCACAAUUUGAAAUGCAAAGUACCUUUUAAAUACCUCAUGAUUCUUUUCAUGGUUGUCCAAUGGAUUGGUCUAACCUUUCAUAUGUAUUGGCUCACAAUACUCACUACAUAUACAAGAUCCACUCUUGUGCCAAUCAUUGUAUAUAUAAGUAAAUCCACUACUACAUUAUAUGGAGCAUCUUGUAUUUCACCUUCAACUUUAGCAAAUUCUUCAUCCGUGAGCUUCAUCAUCUUCAAAUUAUCCUCCAAAGGUGUUUCAAUAGGCUUACACUCUUCGAUGUUGAAUCGUUUCAACACUUCUUCAAUGUACUUCUUUUGGCUCACUAUAAUGGUCUUUUUAAUAUGAUUUCUCACAAAUUCCACUUCUAAACAAUAGUGAAGCUCUUUCAAAUCACUCAUUUCAUACUUCUUUUCUAACUUUGCCUUCAAUCAAUCCAUCAUCUUCAUAAUAUUGGUUAAGAUGAUCAAAUCAUCAAUAUAGAGGAUGACAAUCAAUAUGAACUCACUUAAUUAUAUCAUAUACAAGGAAUGACCAAAUUUAUUUGUUAAAAAUCCUUCAUUUCAAAAGAAUGUGUCAAUGCGUUGGUACCAUGUCCUUGAAAAUUACUUGAGCCCAUACAAGGUUUUAUUCAACUUACAAAUAAGAUGUUAUUUGUCUUCUUCUACAAAUCCUUGAGAUUGCUCCAUGUAAAUGACUUCUUUUAGAUUUUCAUUCAAAAAAGCCAUUUUCACAUCUAUUUGAUGCAUCUUUAACUCCAUUGCUACCCCAAUUGCAAAAAUGGUUCUAAUUGUAGUGGAUUUGGCCACGAGAGCAAAUGUCUAAUUGAAAUCACCACCAAUAACUUGUGAGUAGCCUUUGGCAACCAAUCUAGACUUAUAUCUCAUAGUAUUGUCCAUUGUAUCCUUUUUAAUUCUAAAUACUGACUUACAACCAAUUAAAGAUCGAUUUGGUGGAAGUUGAGUCAAUUUCCAUGCUCCAUUGUCCAUGAAUAAUUUGUACUCUUCUUCAAUGGCAUUCUUCGACUUCAUAGCAUCCAUAGACUUCAUUGCAUUACACAAACUUAAAUGGAUCAAUAGAGAGUAUAACUUUGGCAUGUUCUUCACUUACUUGAAGAAAGAUGUGAUUCUUCUACUAUACACUAAGUUGUUUUCUAUCUCUCAAAAAAUAUCUCCUUUCACUUGAUGAAGCUUCACCUUCUUUUAUCCCAAGGUUUCUUAUAAGCUUCUUUUCUAUUAAAUUUUACUUCUUCACAUUCAAAGAUUGAUACUCUUCAUCAUCAUCAUCAUCUUUAACAUCUUCAUUGUCUUCAUUACUGAUUUUAGCAAUAGUAGGCUUACUAUAGUCUACCUUCUUUGGCUCUUCAUUUUAAUUUGAAUUUUUGCUAUCAUCAAUGUCAUCAUGUUCAUCUACUUCUUUACUGAAAUUGAAGUUGUAUCCACAAAUAUACCAUUACUCCGACUUAGAUACAUCUUCAAGUGCUCAUAAGCAUUCCUAUGCUCAAAAAACUCUACAUUAAGAUUCUUGAUGAUUUUUUUGAUUUCUAAAUAUAUUAGCCUAUAUGCCUUGAUACCUUCACAAUAUCCAACAAACAUACAUUUUAUACCUUUUGCAUCAAGUUUGGACCUCAUACAAUUUGGUAUCUUUGCAUAUGCAAUACAUUCAAAAAUCCUCAUGUAUGAAACAUAAGGUUUCUUGCCACAUCAAGCUUUUUGUAGAAUCAUUGAUAUGAAUGUAUUUGUUGGACACCUAUUCCUUGUAUACACUGCAUUUAUCACUAUUUCUCUCCAAUACUCAUGCCUAAGGUUUUGUACAUGAAACAUACUCCUUGCCAUCUCUACUAUAAUAUGAUUUGGUCUUUCAGCAACUCCAUUUUGUUGUGGACUGUAGGAAAUAGAGGAUUAUCUUACAACACCUUGAAUCUUCAAGAAUUCAUCAAAAUAUUUUGAUAUGUAUUCACUUCCAUUAUCCAUAUACAACACUUUAAGCUUGUACUUACAUUGUUUCUUUGCAAGAGCAUUAAAUUCCUUAAACCUUGAGAAAGAUUCAUUCUUAGCUUUAAUGAUAUAAAUCCACACUUUUCUUAAAAAAUCAUCAAUAAAUAUGACAAAAUACUUUGUUCUUCCAAUUGAUGUUGUCUUCAUUGGUCCACAAAUAUCAAAAUGUAAAAUCUUCAAUAAUUUGGUAGCAUGUGUUGCAACUCCUCUUAGAAAGAAAGUCUUUUAUUGUUUGUCUUGUAUGCAUCCUUCACAAGCAAAAGUCAUGGCAUUAUCACUGAAUUGGCCAAGAUUCAAGCCACUUACUAUAGAUUGGAACUCAUUCAUGCUUUUGACAUUCAAAUGACCAAGUCGUUGAUGCCAAAUUCUAAAUUUAUCUUGAUCUUGUGAAAAAUCAACAAAUGCUAUCACUUUUAUUCUAUUCACCUUCUUACAAUUGAUGAAGUAGAGGUUGUCCUCUCUAAGACCUUUGACAAUAUGUUGUCUAUUCAAUAUCUUCACAAAACAUCUAUUCUUAUCAAAUUAAACCUUACAACCAAGUGAUACAAGUUUGCUCACUGAAAGGAGGUUCUUCAUCUUUGGCAUAUGUAAGACCUUGUUCAAUGUGAUUCUCUUGAUUUGGUUCUUCACAAUGAUUUCCACAACAAUGGAUCCAAUUUCAAUGGCUUGUACCAUGCCAUUCUCUUUCAACUAAACUUUGAUUGCUAGAAUUUCUUUAUAAGUGUCAAAUAAAUACUUGUAUGGUGUCAUAUGCUUAGUAGGAUCCGAAUCUAUAAUCCACUAAGACAUAUCAGUCAUAGACACUCUUUUACUUGCCAUAAAAACAUAAUCAUCUCCAUCAAAGUUAUCAUGAAUAUUGUUUGCAUUCUUCCCAUCUUCUUUCUUAGCUUUAUAGCAAUUCUUAGGAAAGUAACUUGAUUUUUUAUAAAUAUAGUAAUUUUUUAUAUUUCUUUUAAAAUUAUUAUAUUGGUAAGAAUAGCUACCUUUGUCUUAUCUUAAAAUUAGAGCCAAAUCAUGACUUUGAAGCUCAUUUUCUUUCCUUUUGGUCACUUCAUGGACAAGCCUUGAUGUGAUAUAAUUCAUGGUAAGCUCUUUCAUGUUGUUAGACUCCAAUACCACAAUGAGAUAGCUAUAGGACCCGAAAAGGCUCAUGAUCAAUGUCAAUACAAUGUCCUUAUCAUCAACUCGCCUAUCAACAAUUGCUAGUUGGUUUGCCAAUGCUUUUAUCUUGUUGAUAUGAGCCAUGAGGUCAUCUCCUUCUUCCACCUUUACCAUUAAGAACUUCCUCCUCGUCUAGAAAAUUUUGGCUAGGUUUUUAUUCUUAUAGUUGUUGCAAAGAGUCUUCCAUACUUUUGUAGCUCUAUUGCAAGUAAUUACAUGUGAAAAGUUGGCAUCAUCCAAAUUUGAUGCAAUCAUACCAAAAGUUUUUCUUUCACGGCAUUUAUAUUCAUUCUUCACAUUGACAUCAACAUCAUGACUUGAAGGUUCUUCACUUUCAUCUACAAUGUUCCAAAGGACCAAUGAAAUCAACAAAAAAAUCCAUUUUUUUCUUUCAAUGGUAAAAGUUAUUACCUUUAAACUUCUCAAUUACUCUUAAACUUUUAUCUUUACUUAAAGCCAUAUCUAAAAAAAAAGGUGUAUAAAAAAAUAUCAAGAAAAAUAAAAGAAAAAGUUCUCAAAAUCAACAAAAAGGUAUUACUAACUUAAAAACCCAAAAUACCUUUUUUGUAAAUAAACAAGUGAUUUCACUCUUUAAUCACUCUCAACUUCACUUAUAAGACUUCUCACAAGUCUUAUACUCUAUCUUAACCUCUUGUAUAAGCUUUGCCACUCCACAAUCACUUCUCUUGUCUCAUGAAAUAUGUCUUACAUCACAAAAUACUUCUUAUCACUAUAAGAGGAUCUCAAGGAAAGUUUAUCACAUAAAACCACAAUGUUAGAUCACAAAUGAUAUAAAUCAACAAAGAAAUACAAUACUAAUGUUCUAAAACAUCAUUCUAAGGUAUCUAACAACCUCUAAGAUUAUCAAUGCACUUAACAACAAGUAAGAGCAAAACUAUAUCAACAACUAGAUACAACAAUAGAAUUAGAUGAUACCAAAUCCUAACAUCAGAAACAACAAAAAGAUCUACUCUUCACAAUAAGUAAGACUUCAAAGAACUUCAAAAUUUACAACUAAAGGUAAGUGGGCCCAUAACCUAUUGAAGAACUAUUGAAGAACUAUUGAAGAACAAGCACUAUGAAAUCACAACACUUAACAUCAGCAAGGUUGCAUACAAAGAGAGUAUGGAGUAAGAUAUCUCUCAUUUCCAGCACUUGUUACUUAAAGGUGGUGGCUUUUGUCUUAAUCGACAACUUCCAUACUUUCAUAAAUACAACCAUCCAACAUUCUAUCAAGACUAUCUAUUGUUAUCUUAUCUACUAUAAGAAUAUUCUUUUAGUAUAUUCGAUAUAUUCUUAAGAUCCUUGGUCCUUUUAUCUACUUUAUUUCUUGGCCUUCUUAUAUACCAAGAGCUAAUUUUUUUUACCAAUAGCAACUUAUCUUAGAUAAUAUCUUCUACAAGGUAACUUAUUCUACUUUAACUUUUAUUUACUUACUUACUUUAACAAACACAUCUAAUAUUGUUUUUUUCUUUUUUCUACAAAUCAAUAUAUAUAUAGUUCUUUAAUGCAAAUCUUUAUAUUUUAGGCCAAUUACCACUUUUAUAAAAGAUGACAUUGUACAGAUUGUUGUUGGAUUGCACACCAUUGAGGUUUAUAAAUAAGAAAAAUAUCAUUUGUACCCCUAAAAUAUGUUAAAGUAUCAAGAAUAUCCAUGUGUUCUUGAUAAUAGCAAAUUUACCCCUCACUUCUUUGAUAAUAUCAAAUCUACCCUAGAUCUCACAUUUUUUUUUUUUUUUUUUUAAAGUCAAACCAGGUCCCACCUGCGGGCCGCGGAUAAAUCGGCGGAUUCAUUUCCGCAUUUUCCCGCACAGUACGCCAUCAAUCUCACACAAAAAUAAUGAUACUAGCCCAUCAACAUUCGGGGCACAUCCAUGGUUUGUCCACGAAGCAACUGGCAUUGUUCACGCCCAUAGACAAACUCUCGUCAUUCAGCGUCAUCCUUUCUCGUUUGAGAUACUCUAUGUAAUUCGACUUGGGGCACAUCGCGUAUGAAGUGAAAUUGUGCAGCAAAUCAACGCUGAUGCUACCGACAAGAACUGUCGUUGAAAGCGCUCUUGCGCCAUGCAUAUGCGACUCCGAUUCAAUGGCCGAUGAGCUAAUGAGCAAUCUCCGAUUGCAUUAUGAGCUGAUGAAGCCCAAGCUCUCUGUGCACCUCUUGCGCACUGGGUUUUCCAAGGAAUAGCUUGCAGUCAGUAAAAGCUCCGAUUGACACACUCAACUUGACGUAAGGAUUCACAACCUCAAAUUUUGGUCUUCUGCAUCUGGGGUGUUUGUAUGGGUGGCACCAUCAGGGCAGCAUCAGCUAUCGAACACUGCAAAACUGCAACAACUUGAGUGGGGACACCCUGGCUGUAGCUCCGAGUGUCAGAGAGCGGAGUUGUUCAAACCACUGCAUUACGCAAAUCCCAACAAGUUUCCCUUUUAAAAAACCAUAAGAUUCCACCAUCUUGCAGCCACUGCCACCAUUCCACCGCUUGUGCUGAUCGACUCACUACUGCAGCUCAAGAUGAAGGGAUUCCAAGCACUGGUGCUGAUCGGAACUCUCAUGCUCGUCGCUUGCAGCUGCUCAGCUGCCAGAAUUUUUGUGGAAGAGAAUCGUGCAACACGCCAUAUGAAGUUCAAGAAUGGUCUAUCGCCUACCGAGAAGCCCAAAUUGCCGCCGCUGCCCACUUUGCCUCCCAACCCCGAGCUCACGUUGCCGCCGCAACCCAAGCUGCCGAGUUUCGGGAAGAAGUGCCCUCCACCUUCUCCGGUCUAUGAGUCUCCUCCUUACUCCCCUUCCCCGGUGUACACUUCUCCUCCUUACUCUUCCUCCCAUGUCUACAGGUCUCCUCCCCCUUAGAGCUCAUCACCGCAAUGAGAAGGAGCUCGAGAAAUCCAACUUAUGUAAUCGCAGCCAUUGCAGAAUUUCGUCUGGACACGUUUUACGAGUGAAUGGAGGUUGUGAUGAAGCCAUCAGUUGUAAUCCAGGACUUCGCAUUUAACGCAUAGUUUUGUGUUGGCUUGCUAAGUUUUCAAUGAGGCUUUGAGGGAAUCGGAAGGCGAUUACGCUGAAUUGCGAGAGUUUGUCUACGGGCGUGAACAAUGCCAGUUGCUUCGUGGACAAACCAUGGAUGUGCCCCGAAUGUUGAUGGGCUAGUAUCAUUAUUUUUGUGUGAGAUUGAUGGCGUACUGUGCGGAAAAAUGUGGAAAUGGGCCCGCCGAUUUAUCCGCGGCCCGCAGGUUGGUCCCAGUUGGACUUUAAAAAAAAUAAAUUGUGAUACCUUAUCAACCUCAAGGGUGGAUUUGAUAUUAUCACUUCUACAGGGUUAUUCUUGAUAUUUCAACAGGGGCAUUUUUUUUCUUAUAACUAAUAUUUGAAUCACGUUUUAAAGCAUUUUUAUUCUUAUGUUAAAAAGUUCAUAUCAAAAUUUUAAACUUUACCUUAAUUGAUUGUAAUGAUUUCAAUAAUUCUUUUAACAAUGACAAACAAUAUUAAUUUUUUAUGAUAUAAAAUCAUUAUAUAGUAAAAAUCAUUAUAAAUAAUAUUUUUUGAUUGAUUUAAAAAAAAAAGAUGAAUCCACAUGAACUUGUCAAAAUAAAAAAUACCUACAUACAAUUGAGAAAAGAAAAGAAAAAACAAACGAAUAAAAAUCCUAAUGUAUGGAAAAAAUAGAAAGGUAUUAAAAUAGUUGUUGCUAAGUACAUUUUUUUAAAAAGGUCAAAAAUAUAUAUUGUCCAAAUUUUCUAACGAAAUAGCAAUAGAAAAAUUUCUGAGGAAUUUUCCAAGGACCACAAAACUUGCAAGCUAAGUUACAGAAGCUUUCCAUUUGUUACAUCUUCAUUAUAUUUAUUGUAAAAAGACAAGUACUUCAGAAAACACCACUGACAAGGUCGAACUUAAAAAAAACCUAUGAUACUUCUCAUAUUCAUCUGGUAUAUCAUCUCUAAAGGAGAUAUGAAGAUGGUCCUUGGCGCAUAGACAGUGGAGAAAUGGAAACAACCCUGUAAACCUUCAUUCAUUGUGCGAGUGGACUGAACCAGUUCCCUGAGAAUCAGUCAAUGAGGCACGGAUUCCAUUUCUACAAAUGUACCAAAAUGUUGCCCAUGGGCCUAUCCAAACCAGGAGAACUCAUUCAUGGACAAAUAACAGAAAGCCAGAUUACAAUCACACGUACCAAUACUGAGAUUGAAAUGUUUUUUCAUAUCUGAAAUUUCUCAAGCUGUACACAUGAACGUGGCCAAGUGUCAUCUAGAAAUAAACCUAACUCAACUUAUUCACAGCUUUCAUGUCGUCUUCGACAGACAACAGGCUACAGCCUAAAGUCAGCAGUCAAGGUAUGAAACUCAAAAGAAACCAAGGAUGGAGGACUAGCUGAGUGGAUUCUUUAAUCUACACGUUUGCUCUCCAAGUCUGUCUCAGGAUGAGCAGGUGACUUGGGCAUCUUUGCCACAAGCAAAGGGCAUGGGCUGUUGUGAGCAAGAUGGUCGGUAAGGCUACAGAGCAUUGUUCUGUCAAAUUCAAGUUAGAUACGGGGUCAGGAAGUUUUAGAAAAAGUUAAUCAGACAAUUCGAGACGUGAAACAUUCCCAGACAUGAAUUAAACAUGUGAUCCCCAAGCUGGUAAACGGAGAGGUCGUACCUGGAAAGAACACUUCGGUCAUGAGUUCCGAUAACCACUGCAUCAGCUCGAAGAUUUGUCAACCCUUCGAUAACCUUCAUUUCAGGUUGGCCGUUUACCACAAUACCCUCACAUUUGAUCUGAAGAAAUGAGAUAGCACACAAGUUAGUGCCCUAUUUGAUAUGCUAAAAGGUUCGCUAAUGUGAAAUUUUCAGCUUACGGCGAUGAGGUUACUGUAAAAUGAGUCGCGUUUACCUUUGUCUCCUUAUUUACGUACUCCAUAUACUUCUCCACCAGCUUUUCGCUCUGAUUCAAGGCCUCUACCUCAGACUUCCCGGCUAUCUGACUGGGGACAUAUACCUCCUCUAUUCCGAAUUCUCCUGAUUUCAGGACAAUGAAACCCAUAAGCAACGGUUUGUCACACGAUGGUCUUGAUACUCCACAUUUAUCUUCCAAGAGUAGUAAAAUCAAAAGAAGUGACGCUGUCAUCAAUAAAUACACGCAAAAGGCAUUUCUCGUACACUCCACACAGCGACGUGGCAAUAAAUAUAGAUUUCUAUGCUAAGUCCAACGCCAUUAGCGUGUGUAAAGGAUCGCUCAGCAGAAAAAAACUUACCGGUACCCGCGGUAGCCGCUAGUGGUACGGACUGAUUUACGUGAUACAGGAUCAGGUUAUCCUCCUCCCUGGAAAAGUUCUCUAGUGCCCAUUUAAAUGCAUAUACGGACUGCCACAAAACGAAGCAAUAUUAAGAAAUCGAAUUUCUUGAUCAAUUCUCCCAUUGCAAGCUAGGAUGUGUCUAUUUCAAUCCCUGAUGUGGUCCACGUCAACUAAAACAACAACAACCAGCGUCAUAACAAUGCCCAAAACCCUAAUCAUAAAUAACUACAAUAUGUGGACUCGUGUCAGCGAGAGAAUGCUCUCACCAUUGUCCUUCCUUUAAUACAAAGGAAUUUGCAGCUAAUUCAAAUGUUCCUGUUUUUUUACCCUCAAUCGCUAUGAUGGAUCUCGACUAUCUGAACUCCAUUGAAAAGUUACAUUGGUUUCUUCUCAGCUGAUCAUUAUCAUAGAAGACCAAGAUUGGCUACAAAGUCAUUGAGGCAGAAUAGAAAGUAGAAAUACCUCUCGUGACUCGUCAACUGCAAUGACGACCUUUCUACUACCUCCAACAGAAUUUAGUGGGUCAUGGACCUUAAGGUCUUCCUCUAUAUGUCGAACAAUAGCCACAGGACAAGAUGCAUUGUGCAGCACAUAAUCACUGUUGCUUCCUGUAAUGAUCCUGUAGCGUGAAACAGAAUAGGUCAGUAAAAAAACACAGAAUCUUGACAUCUGCCGUCCAUAAACCACUGCUGAAGUUGGCGAAAGUGUCCUCACCGUUUCAGGAUUCCAGACCCUCGGCUGCCAAUCACUAUCACAUCUGCGCCAAGACGAUUUGCCUCGUCCACAAUCCAGGUUCCAGCAUCGCCUUUCACGACCUCUCCUGCACAUGCAAUCUGUUAUGCACAAUCAAAAAAGUGUUAGUGCUACGCAAUGAGUAAACUACUUGUACUAAGCUAAAAAAACAAAUUGCAUUAGAUAAGGCAUUUCUAAUGUUUCUUCAUUGGGUGUGGGAGGUUGAUAACCCUGAGAAAUAGGAAACAACCAGGCAGCAAUUAAGGAGAUAAAGUCGCCGUCCAACAGUUUUGAUAACAUGAAAAUCUCAAACACUGCUAUCAUGAUAACUAGGCAGGUAACCACAAUAUUUUACCGCUCGUUCUACCAAUGUGAGCCUAAUUAUGGUUCCUAUGAUCAUAGAUACAUGUAAACCUUGAGCUAGUGAAGAGAGGGCACAAAAGUUAAGGUGACUUACACCAGCCUGAUUGCAUUGCGAUAUACAUCUAGCAACGAGAUCCUUGGCCUUCGUAUUUACAUCUUUCUCGUUGGUUUCGAUAUCAGUUGUUACUGAGACUGCUCCCGCUCCAUACUCUAUCACAUGCACAGAAUGAUUUUUAGUCAUGGCAGUAAAAAUCCCAUUGCUUCCGUAUCGCUAUACCCCGAUCUCAAAUUUUAGGUUCAAGCUUUGCUGCAAGUGCAGUCCUUGCAAGAAAUAACAGGAAGUAGCUAAACUUAUCCAAAUGAAGUAGUACAAAAGUGUCUGAGACGAGCUCGCCCCGCCCUAGGUUAUGGAACCCAUGUUGUCCACGUGAUAACUUCAAUUUUUUUAAAGGAUAUCACUCAAAAAGAACUCUUUAUCCCUUUCAACCGUCUCCGUUAAAAACACGAAUGCCAAAGCAUAAAUCCAAGUAAAAUCUGCUGAAGGACACUGAAAAUUGUCGGUUGCAAUUCCGUGAGAGAAAUGAACAGAAACUCUCUCCGAGGGAAUCAGACUGGUCUUUUCAAAUGCUUUGAGGAAAAGUUAAGGGCAAGAGAAGGUCACAGAUCAACGACCUAUACGACGGUAGAACAUAACGCAUUCACUGGAUUAGGCAUGCACUUCGUCACUCUUGUAAAGCGACUCACCGGUAGCCAUGUCUGGAGACGGAUAGCCCAGAGCGACGAAAGGAGCAGCAGUGAGCACCACAACUUUGUCCGUUUUGCGAACCAAAUUAUGCAACGCCCAAGUAAAGGCGUACGCAGACACUUCAGAAUCAUCAACAGCAACAAUAAUCUUCCGAUCGGUCGCCAUUGCUAACGAAACCUCUCACCACACCGAGUCAGCGAAGAAGAAAACCCUCAGCAAAACCACGACUUUCGGCCAACUCUGCACUCAACCCAACCUAAAACCAAGUCAGGAAACAAAACAAAAUGACCCCGUAGCGCAACAACAUCAAGGCAUCAGAUCUCACAAUGAUCAUUCGAAAUCGCACAUGAUACACACAAUGGGCACUCAACACACAGCACAGAGAGAGCAUAGGAAAACUCUUACGGCGUGCAGCGAGCGAAACAAUACUUUUUUGUCAAUGUGGUGGUGAUCGAUUGAGGAACCCACAAAUAACUUACAAAAAUAUAGGAAAAAACAACUGAUUGAGAGAUGAAAGAUCCAAGAUAGGAAACAACGCUUGUGAAGACGCGGAUAAUAUAAGCCCAGGGAAGUCAAAUUCGCUGCAGAGUGCCAUUCCUCUCUCUCGACGUGAAGCAUCGGUACACUUCAGCGGUUAAACCCUACGACCGUGGAUCGGCGUUCUUCGCGCCAAGUGUCGGUCGCCGACGCAGCCAGUUGCAGCGCCACUGGUCACCCCGUUGCUGACGCGGCAAUGUAGUCGUUCGUGAUCCCGUGCGAUGGAUGAGUGGACAAUUAUUGGGUUAUCGAUGAACGUGGUUGUUUUGGAUGGAUGACAGUUGACGUGAAGCAUGCAUUAUUGAAAUCCCAUGUAGAACUCUCUGUGAAGAAUCUACAAUUGGUAUUGGAAGUAUUUCUUUUUCUUUUUCUGUUUGUUUUUCUGUUUCUUUUUUAACCUGUGAAAUUCUAACAGCCUUAAUUUAUUUGAAAAUGAAUAGAUCUAUUAGUGUAACUAUUUUUAACCAGUAUAUUAUUAGUUGAUGUAUUAUUGGGCCACCUGUAAAUAUUGUUAAGAUUUUGGUGUUACAAAAGUACAACUGUGCUUAUGACUUUAUCAUGCAAAGAUUAUAUUUGUACAAAUGUAGUAGAUCUGGAUUUGCCAGAUGAUUUACGACUUAUUGUUGUAAAGUUAUUAUAAUGAGACUAUAAUAAUAAUACACAUUCUAAAAACAUAUAUACAUAGUCUGUAAUUAUUGUACAAUAAUAUUUCAAAAAUCAAAAAAAUAUAUUUUUACUUCAUUAUCCCCUUUCAAAUAUAUAGAUUUGCAUUACAAAAAAUAUGUAAUUUAUUAUGAAAUUUUAACGAUAAUUAAAAGUAAUAUAUUGUAUAUUUCUUAUAAGGUUAAACAUAAAUCUCAAUAGAUGUGUCAGUAAAUAUUAUUUUUUAAAAUUUAGAAUUAUUCACUACAUGGAAUAUUAAAUUGUAUUAUAAUAUAUAAAAUCUAAUAUACUUUAAACUUGUGUAUAUUUAUAAAUUGAAUACUCUAGAUACGUGUUUUUUUUCUACUUUUACUAUAAUUUGUAUUUUAUCUUUCUAAUUUAUAUUGCAUAAAAUAUCAAUUUGUUUUAUUUUCAAAAUUUCUCUAUCAAUAAUUUUUAAUAUAUUUUUUGAUAAAAAUGAAUGAUUGGGUAGACUGAUUUUGGGGGUUUUUUUUUCUUAACCAAAUGUGUACACAUUAAUAAAAUAAUGUGAGUCAAGUAAAAUUUAAUACGAUUUAUGUUAUGUAUUAAGGACACAUUUGUUUAAAAUAUAUCUAUUAGGCUUCUAAAGCAAGCAAUGGAACACAUAUUAGCAGCAAUUCUGUUACAGCUUCGACCAACUUCAAAGGGUCAGGCUCAGUGGCCAGUAGUUCAAACGAGCAGAUUCUGAUUUAGCCAAAAAUGGUGACAUUCCAACAACUGAAGAAUUUUACUUAUCUUCGCCACUCACGAAGGUCUGGACAUGGUGUCUUGACAAGGUUGAAUUGUGAACAACACCUUUCAAAUGCAGUAAUCUCACACAUUACUAAGCAAUUGCAAUUUUAGAGUUGAAACGGAUGUUCAGAUCAGAGCAUGUCGCACUCCGAAGCAAACCAAAACUUCCCAGUUUGGAGAGACAGCAAAAUGAGGGACGAGCAAUUCAAUCAAGUUGGCAGCCAGAAUCACUGAAUUUCAGAUGAAUAACUUCGUAUAUUUUUUGAAAGUUUACAAAAAUUACACUCAUUUUUACACAAGAAACCAUUCCGCUAAUGGUGACAAUAAUUGGGUCAAUUGAACCUGAUUGACCCUUCAUACAACCCCUAUUUCUUUUGUUCAUCAAGUGUGAGAAACUCUUGUGGCUUUUUCUGACCUCUUGUGGUCCUUCAAAGCCAUUUGAACCAAAUGAUGUUUGCUUAAUAUCACGUUUAAGCAAACAAUAUCAUUCGGGUGUUCCUCAAGUAUCACUGAGAUAUAAUUUGCUUGUGUAAGCAAAUCCACAGCUAUGCAGGGAGAAGUGGGUCUUCACUAAAGAGGUGGAAGGUGAGCUAAUGGGUCCACCGUUCUACCGUCUUUGUGGAUUUCGAAGUGAAGAUGAGGCCCUGUGGAAUGGCCCGUGUUGCCAGAGAGAGCUAUGACUUGCCCCUUGCGUACAAACUGACCUGGUUGCACAUGUACGUUGUCACAGUGUGCGUAGAGUGUAAUGUAGCCAUUUCCAUGGUCCAUGCACACCGUUUUCCCGUACCCUCCUUUCCAUCCAGACCAUGUUACCUGCACCCACGAGGCACAGAUGUCGGUCCAUGAUUUCAAUACCAUGAGCGUUUUGUAAAACAAGAUUUCCGCGGCCUUGAACAUCCUACCAUCAAAUUACAUUCGCUUCAGUCUAGAACAAAACCAAAACCAAAACAAAACAAGACAAAAAAAUUCAUAAGAAAGUCGUAGAAAUGUACAAGUUCACGAGGAUAGGCAUGGAGGUGAUAUAUAACAUAUUUUAAUACUCAGUGCAUCGUCUGUGUGAAUGAUGAGGGAUAGGGCCAUUUCCACAUUCUUCUGAACAACUUUGGUAGUUGUUAUGCUCCCUAGGAAGGCAAAAUUUUACUUUUAGAGGAAAAGGGUUCAGAGAAAAUAAGGUCAUUUGACAUUUAGAGUGAUGAAAGGAAGUUGUGUGGAGCAAAUCUCACCUUGCCACUAGUUGAUGCAAUUACCUCCGUACCACGCUCAACAGCAAUGUCAAUGCCAUUGUGAAAAUACCAGCGCCCAUCUGCACAAAACCAUUUCACAAAAUGAACCACAUACGCAAAUUUUACGGAAUGUUGUAUUAUGGAGGGCUGCGAGGAUCCUUUAGUGUGGAGCUGAAGACACUUCCUACCACUACAUUUCAGAACUCAACAAAAACAUUUCACACGCCAGUAUGUCAUCUACAAGUUGAUAUGCCCACCUUUCCAGCCAUAGAAGGAGCUAAGCCAGCCACCAUGGCAGGGUAACCCAAAUGGCUCUGGUUCCCACUUCGGCAAUAUCAAUUCCACAAUUUUAUUUUGAACGAUUGGUUUCAAAGCUGGAAUAGUUGCUAGAUUUUCUUUGCGCAGCAAGUAGCGCAAGGGGGGGCCUUGCGACAGCGUCAUACAAAUCGGUUGUGCAGGAGAAGGGAUUACAAGUUCCUGGCCUACAUACAAAUGACUCGAUCCCUGCCGACAAUGAAAUGAUGGCAGAUGUCAGUAAGCAUGCUUUAGUUGGGGAAGUUCUCAUAAAGAUGGACCAGGGACACUAGCGGCGUGAAUUCACGUUGCAACGAAGAGCAGUACCGGAGGCAAGUUGUUCGACCGGCGGAUGUCGUCAAUACUGACAUGAUGCUCAUCUGCUAAGCUCCAUAACGUGUCCCCCCAAUUCGCAAUGACCCGUUUCUCUCCCUUCGUUUUGUCGUCCCCUACACAGAACGAAGAAUCAAAUUGCAUUCUUUGCAUGGGUGCUUCGAUGAUAUUCACCAACCUAAAGACUUCGUCAACAUGAUCCGUUGCAAAUUCCCAGCACUGGACAUCUUCUACCUGUUUUUGCAAUGUUACAUAAAAGAAGAAGUCGGGCAUGACUUACAGAAUCGUUUAUGUUUCGAUGAUACCGCCUUCCUUGGAAUGCGCAAAUUCUGACCAGGCUGCAAACACAAACAAGCCACCUUUUCAGCUUCUAACACAAUUAAGAUAAUCUCCAGAAGUGAUGAUCAACAACAGAAUAUGAGCAGAAACUUUCACAUGCGCAUUAAUCUCACACAUGACAGUAAAGCAACUCUGGCAGGAGAAGAAUACACAUGUCUGUGUGUGUACAAGAGAAACCAAUCAAAAUGGUUUCAUUGCAGCAAUGUCGACCAGAUAACUUUGAGAAGCUUGAACCGUAAACAAAUCUGAGUUACCAAAUACGAUAGAAACCUUCGAAACCUCUAAUAGAUGUAAAUUCUUACAAGAUGUUGUUAGCUCACAAGACAGCAACCUAAACCGAAUUCCAAAAACGCCCGCUCCCAUCCACAACCAAACAUCAUGUAUUCCUUCGCACAACCCUCCCCUCAAGGACCCAUCUCACUUAUUAGUUUCAAGCAUCUCUCCUUCUGCAACUAGAAACAGACGCAGCUGAUACCACCGCAUGACUAGGGAAUAAUGUAGAGCAGAUCCGGCGAGAAAUAAACAAAGUAACAAACAAAAAUGCCCUUCAUAUUGUUAAAUAUGUCAAUAUCUUAGCAAGAGAAAUUCUUCGACCAGAUAGUUGGGGGACUGAUCCUCCCAGAGUAUGUUGGUCAAACUGCAGGAUAUAUCGAUCUAUUCCACAACUAAAGAUGAUUGCAGGAUGAAGUUCAAAGGAUGCACCGUGUCUUUCAAGGAUCAAGGACAAUUUUCAACGUAAAUAGAAGACAAGGAAACCUUUAUGAUAUCAUUAGAUUCGCAGUCUAGAAAACAAAGACUUUGAGAGUAUUAUGAACAAAUUCUUCAAGUUAAGGAUCCCUCGAACCUCCCAACAACAGAACCCCCGACAAUGUCGUAUUAAAAAUACUAAUCCAAUACUUUUGGUUGCGCUUUUCUAGAUUAAUCCUCACACACUAAAUUAAAAACCACUACGAAGUAAAGACAUUCCUAUUGAGAAAUGAAAGCACAGCUAAUCAACUCGUGUUCAGGAGCACUAAAAUAUUCUAACGUAAAAAAUAAGGAAUAAGAGGGAGAGAAAGAAAAAAUCACGAGCUAGAAACCAGGAAUAAGAACACGAGGUAACGGAUCCAACGUCCUACGACAAAGCGAGCACGACAUGGAACACGGAGAACGAAUCGAAACAGCGAAGAUUCCACACAAGUUUUGUACAAUGCCAUGGACGUAGAUAAAGCCCAGAACAAAUGUUGAGGAGCUGCUACCUUCAGAUGCUCGAUAUUCGCUAUGCUAUUAACACGUUGCAAGACCUCCAUUGGAAUUCCAACCAGCCUUGAUAUUUCUGACAAACAAUCGCCAUGGCGCACCACAAGAGUCGAGAACUCCGCAUCCUGGUAGCAAUCUCGUGAGAAAUCCCGAGUGUUUUUUGGGUCAGAAUGGGAUGACGGGGACUGACUUCCACAAGCCCACAAGUGGAAGACUUGAAGGACCAAUCCUAGUUUGUUUUCCGAUUCGAAGAGGGAUGGAGCACUUUUCGAAUUAGCAGUGCCACCUCUCCUUAUCAAUGUGUCUUCUAACUCCCUUGCAAUGCCUCGAGACUCAGCAUCGGCUUCGUCGUCUUCUCUGAAUAAUGACAAUAGGUUUUUCCGCUUCACUACAAUUUGCGUUUCUGAUUCUGCCAUUUGUUCUUUCUUCGGUAGCAGAUCUCGCAACCAUGAUGACAUUUCGCAAGUCUCUGUAGAUAAAGAACUUCUCUAUCCUUGAACUUCUACGGAAUUUCUAGCUUUGCUACAGUAUGGAGGCACCAAGAGACUAUAUGCCACUGCUGCGCAUCCACAAACCUCACCCUCAUCAUUGUGCAGACAAGACCGGAACUGCGCCAAACAGGGCAAAUGAAUUCCUCGCAAUUUGCUUACGGCAAGUUCGAGGCAAAACAGACAAGGAGAAGCUCGUUCAAUUGAGGGAGAGACAGCUGCGACCAAUCGACGAGACUGAGAAUGAUGAGGAGGGCGGGACAAUCAGCGGGCAAAUUGAACGCGUCUGCGGAACAAAUGAGAUAAGCUGAAGAACAAACAUUCUGACGACCUACCGAAGCCUCCACAACCUGCUCCGGAUCGCCAUACGCAAUGAAGAAAGAGCUUUACACGCACAAGGGUGAGACGGAGACCACAUCAGAAACCAAGCUGAAGCAAAUCAAUGUAUUCGACGACCACGACGAGCGUCGAUGGCAGGCCAAUGCUUCGUUGCCUUUCUCGUGGUGGCGCUCACCAGAGGCCACAGAAGGGGAGGUAAAAGGAGGCGCGAGGGGGUGGGAAAUAGAAAAGGCUGAGGAGGAGGGGCAGGAAGGGGAGGGGAUCCUCCGCGACACCUCCGAUCUGCGAGGAAGACGUUGGCGCGGGUCUAAAAUGAAAUCGGCACCAGGAAUCAACCCCCCGAGCUCCCACGAAUUGCCCAGACCAGUCCGAGAUUAGUCUCGCGAGACUAUUCCAAAACUCCUCAGUAAAACCUGCGAUGGCAUCGUCGCCACUCGGGAAUCCUGCACCAGGAAAUUAUUGGUAAAUGGGCCACAAUCUCUUAACAUAGUCGGAAUCACUCCGCGAGCGAGCGACCACCCUCUCUCAAAUGAAGAAGGGACACACCGCGAAUCGCCUAGCACCACCAACGAACGACCACAUCACGACGAUAGCAGUCCUUCGGUUCAAUGAUUACGCAGCUCUCGUCGCGAUAAAACCCACCAACUGGAUUGCGUUAUGGAUGUCCGAUCAACGAGCUUCGACGAUUACGCAACACUUUCUCAGCGACAAUCGACGCGAGACUGUAGCGCCUGUGUCGGAUGCUCGCAGCCCUCACACCCCUGCAGGGAAACGCACGUGUCUCAUCUACCCAAUUUUCAUUCGCCCGUGUUGAUUCGUUGGUCACAAAGUCAACUCCCAGCCUCGUUGCGCUGCAGUCCAGAAAUGAACGACAUCUUUUUCAUAAAAGGAGAGAGAUACUUUUUAUGGGAAAAAGAAAAAGUUUCGGGUGGUGAGUUCGUCUGGUUUUGAAUUCGAAGAUGGAUGAGUGUAGGGUGGAUGUAUGGAUUAAUGUCGUGAACGCGAAUGAUUUCUGUUAGUUUGUGGUACCAUCUGGGUGGGUGGGUAACAUGUGUGUAGUUUUGAGGAUGUGUGAAGGGGUCCCUUGUGUUUUUAUGUGUUGAAGGGACUGCCUUCAUUCCAUUUAAGAACACACUUGGAAUGUGUGAGUGAGUUUGAGAGAGGGUGUAUUGAAACUUCAUAAAGGAAGAGAGGGAGAGGGGGCCAAUUGAUGGGGAUGACCAACCCCUAAUUUUUAAUGAUGAAUUAAAUGGAAUAAAUAAAGGAGGGCAGUGGUGUAAAACCCAACAGCACCACCCAAUAUUCAUCACCAGCACAUUUUUCGCAUGUGUUAGGAAAACUUGUUACAAAAAUAUGUGUUUCAAACUUGUUUGUUUAUGAAGAGGUACAACAAUGGGAAUGAUGAUAGGAAUUAUUUGGUAAACAUGCACUAUAGUGGAUAACAGAAACAAAAUUGUGGGCAAUACAAUCAUAUAAGAACAUAUAUUCAUGUUAGAUUGAGAUUGUGAACAGUGGCAUGACUUUGGAUUUCCACUGAACCCAAUUGGAAUUUAUUCAGAUGCUUGUAUGUGUGAAUGUAUGAUUUAUUUGAAAUUUUAUUUGUGUGUGUGUAUUUAUAUAUAUAUACAUGCAAAACAUUUGGUUAGCAGUAGUUUAUUUAUUUCUUUUAUUACUUUUGGAAUCAUUAUGUGCAUUAUUUAGCUAUGUACGCUAUUUUAAUGUCUUUGGCUAUAUCAUGAAACAUGUUUAUGUAUAUAUAUAUACACACAUUGAGUUCAGUAUGUAUUCACUACCCUGUCAACUGUAAAUAAAGUUGCCUAUUCCAUAAAUAUACUGUACAUAAAAAUAUAAAUAAAACAUCAGAUGACAUUUUAAAAUGUAUCCUGUGAUAAGAAAAUCAACCCUAACUUCGGCAUAAUUUCCAGUCCCACAAAUUCCUGAACUUGAACUUGGAGUGUGAAGAAAUUCCCUUUGAAUAUUGGCCACCAUGAUGUUAUUAUUUCCUAUAGUUGUCAAUCAAACAGUGGAUAUGUCUGACAUGUGUACAUACUCACAGAGUGAAAAAUUCCAUGUGUACAUAUUUAUUUUUAUUUUUAUUUUGUAUACUUUUUAUAUUUUUCUGUUUCUUCUACUCAUAUGUUUGGGUUGUCAGCUUGUUUUAGAAGUUAAUGACAUCGUAAGGAAGAAAAUAUUUACAACCCAAAUGACAACCUGGAUGUACAUCAGUUCAUUUUCUUGUUAGUAACAAUACCAUUCAAAAUAAACCAGUGAUAAAAAAAAUAAAAAACAAAAUCAGAUAAAAAAGUCAGGUGAUUUUUUUUCAUAAACGAACAAUUAACUACUGAAAAUAAUACAUAAAUAAGAUAAACCAGCAUCACUUUUUCGCCCUCCUUCCCACCUAAUGUUUGUUUUGUUAUGACUGAUAUAUUUACGUGUGGGUCAGUUGACUAGCCUUACCUUAGUUAGCCGGAGUCUUAAGCUUAAAAACGAAUAAAUCUCAAAAUCUCAAAAAAGUAAACACAGAAAAAAGGGAGAAGAAGACAAUAAAAGUAAUGAAUAAAUAAAAUUGAAAUACAAAAAAAAAGAAAAAAAAAAAGAAAAAAAAAAAGAAAAAAAAGGGGCUCCAGUGACCAAUAGCAACGACAAUUAGCAGAUGGGUCCGAUUAGUUUAGCCUGCAUUAAAAACACACUGGCUCGUUUAACGACCCAAUUAACAAUUGCUAAUUUAGGAGAGGAAUAGAAAGCCAGAUGAAGGUUCUGUUUAUUACAAAGAUAAAGGCUGGUAUACCACGUGGACUCACUGCCAAAUUUUGCAGUUAAAGCCUGGAGAAGGAAAGCGAGGGAGAUAUACGUGGCGCAUACUAUUUCCCGCGCUCAGGUUUUGUCACCCCUGUGGUCCUAUUGCCACGCCAGAGCGCUUAGGGCGCCAACUCUGGCCUUGGCGGGUUCAGCUCCCGCUAAUUUAGAGAAACCCAUCGCCAAUUUAGGCUGGGGGUUUUAGAGGGUUUUGUCUCAUGUGGGAGUUUUUUAGGGUUUGGAUUGGAGGGACGUUUCAAUUCUUAUUUUUGAGAUGGAGCCACCAAGUUGGUUUUUCUACCUCAAACUCUUGUUUUUCUUUCUAUACUUGCAUGUAUAUCCAUCUAUUUAUAUGUUUUUUGUUCUUGAUUUCAAAAUUGUGUGGAUUUGGGUCCAUUUUGGAUCAGAAAGUUGAUAAUAGGAGAAGAAUGUUUUUUUUGUUGUAUUUCUAAUUUUUUAAUAUCCUUUCAUUUUUAUCUCCCCUUUUAUCUCUCCUUUGAUAGUAGACAUCUAUUAUGAAAUACUCAUUUGGAAAAGUGCUUUGUAAUGAAUGCAUGGAUUUAAUUGUAUAGUUUGUAUUCAUUUGCAGAAUACUCUUAACAACAAAGGUGUAAAGACAUGGUGGCUUGGAUAUGCAACUUUUGUGUAUUAUGUUUAAUGAUAAUAAUAAUAUUAUGUUUAACGAUAAUAAUAAUAUUAUGUACGAAUUAUAUUUAAUAUUAUUGCUCAUAUAUGAAAUUAUAUUUUAAUUAACAUUUUAAUUAUUAUUUUUAAGCAUAAAUUUUGUGUUUAAAUUAGAAAGUAGAAAUGAAUAAAUACACAUAAUAUCAUAUAAUGAAUACAACUAUUCUAUCCUAAUAAGUUUAAGAUAUGAAGUAAUAGUAACUUAUAUUAGUUUUGAAGAAAGUGAAAUUUUAGGAUUUAGCUUAUUAUAUUUUAGACAAUGUAUUAAUUUAAAAAUAUCAAGUAAAUUAAUUUAUACAAGUGAAUGUUAAAAAAAAAUCACUUAAAUAUAUAAAUUAAAAAGAAUGAGUGAAAUAAGUCACAAUCUAAAUCAUUUGAAUCUUUCAAAGCUUGCAAUAUAUUUUUAAAAAUCUAAGUAUCAUAAUUAUAUUGCAUGCUAUAAAGUAAUAGAGUUAUUUGAUAUUUAAAAAAUAAAUAUUACUUUGAACAUCUAUGGAAAAUUAUGUUAAAAUAAAAGUAGAAUAAAUUACCUUAUAGAAGAUAUUAAAUUAGAUAAGUUAUUAGUGGUCAAAGGUUUGACUCUUGGUAUAUGGUAAGGGCAUCCAAUGGAUGUAGGACGAAGUCAUGGAUCAAGAUUCAAAGUCAAAAGGAUAAAGUAUUAAUAAGGGAAUAUUCAAAGACUAGGUAUGAGUCAUUAGUGUGUGUCAUAGGAUAUCCUCAAGUCUCGUGAGAUGCCAAAAGGAUCCUAGGACCAUGUAUAUAAAAGUCAAAAGGUGGAAGUUGUCUUUUAUGGCAGCAACCACUACCUAUAAGUAAUGGAUAUUGGAAGUGAGAGAUAUCUUAUUCCAUACUCUCUUUGUGUGCAACCUUGCUGAUGAUAAGUAUUGUGUCUUCAAAGUGCUUGUUCUUCAAUAGGUUAUGGGCCCACUCACCUUUACUUGUGAGUUUUGAAGUACUUUGAAGUCUUUCUUGUUGUGAAGAAUAGAUCUUAUGGUUAUUAUUGAAGUUUGAGUUUGCUCUCUUCUAACCCUUCUUAUGCAUCUAGUUAUUGAUGUAGUUUUUGUUUUUACUUAUUGUUAAGUGCAUUGAUAGUCUUGGUUAUUGUUAGACUCCAUAUAAUGAUGUUUUAGAACUUUAGUAUUGUAUUUCUUUGCUGAAUUUCAUCAUUGGUGCUCUAACUUUGUGCUUUCAUAUACUUAACUUCAUAAGAGAUUCUCCUAUUUGUUAUAAGAAGUGUUUUCUGUGGUUAGAAGCAUUUUGUGAAAGAGGGGUGAUUGAAGAGUGGCAAAGCUUAUGUAAGGGAUUUAGAUAGAAUAUAAGACUUGUGAAAAGUCUUAUAUGUGAAGUUGAGAGUGAUACAAGAGUGAAAUCACUUGUAUAAUUACAAAGAGGGCAUUUUGGAUUUCUAAGGAAGCAACACCUUCUUGUUGAUUUCUAGAGUUCUAUCUUCUCUUUUCUUGAUUUUCUUUCACACAUCCCUUCCUUAAACAUGUUUUUAAGUGAAGGUGAGAGCUUGAGAGUGAUUGAAAAGUUUAGAGGUGACAACUUUUACCAUUGGAAGAAGAAAAUGGAGCUUUUAUUGGCUUCAUUGGAUCUUUGGGACAUUGUUGAUAAAAAUGAAGACCCUCCAAGUGAUAAUGCUGAUAUCAAGGUGAAGAAGGAGUACAAACGUCGUGAAAGGAAGGAUUUUGGGAUGAUUGCAAUAAACCUUGAUGAUGCAAAUUUUUCACAUGUUAUAGCUUGCAAUGGACCAACGAAAGCAUAAAAGACUCUUUGCAAUAUCUAUGAGAGUAGAAACCUUACCAACAUCCUUUGGACAAGGAAGAAGUUCUUGACAGUAAAGAUGGAAGAAGGAGAUGACCUCAUGACUCAUGUUAAUAAGGUAAAAGUACUUGCUAACCA
rnacentral:lncRNA from 1 species